rnacentral:rRNA from 1 species
AUGAGGAUGACUAUUUCGUUGCUACUUUUGCAGGAGAGUUCUAUUAUCAGACCAGGUUCUGCGCGCAAAGCUAUUGUCAACAAAGGGAUGCCUCCGUGUCCCACGGGAACCUUGAGAAGCUUGUGCCGACUAUAUGGCAGCAACUGUUCGAGUGGGAAGCUGCUAUUGACAAUGGAUGCAUGCAAAUACUGA